rnacentral:rRNA from 1 species
AGCUUGCCUGGACUCGCGAAUGCUCUAGAUUAGAGUUUGAUCCUGGCUCAGGCACGAACACUGGCGGCGUGCCUAAUACAUGCAAGUCGAGCGAACAGAGAAGGAGCUUGCUCCUUUGACGUUAGCGGCGGACGGGUGAGUAACACGUGGGCAACCUACCUUAUAGUUUGGGAUAACUCCGGGAAACCGGGGCUAAUACCGAAUAAUCUAUUUUACUUCAUGGUGAAAUACUGAAAGACGGUUUCGGCUGUCGCUAUAAGAUGGGCCCGCGGCGCAUUAGCUAGUUGGUGAGGUAACGGCUCACCAAGGCGACGAUGCGUAGCCGACCUGAGAGGGUGAUCGGCCACACUGGGACUGAGACACGGCCCAGACUCCUACGGGAGGCAGCAGUAGGGAAUCUUCCACAAUGGGCGAAAGCCUGAUGGAGCAACGCCGCGUGAGUGAAGAAGGUUUUCGGAUCGUAAAACUCUGUUGUAAGGGAAGAACAAGUACAGUAGUAACUGGCUGUACCUUGACGGUACCUUAUUAGAAAGCCACGGCUAACUACGUGCCAGCAGGCCCCGGCGGGUAAAAUACCCGUAAGGGUGGGCAAAGCGUUUGUUCCCGGGAAAUUUAUUUGGGGGCCGGUUAAAAANACGGCGCCGCCAAGGGGNGGGGCCCUUUAAGUCCUCUGAAUUUUUGAAACCCCCNCCGGGGUCUCAAACCCNGGGGAGGGGGGCCCUCGGGGAACCCNGGGGGGGCCUUUGAGUNUCCCACCAAGGGACACUUGGGNCUUUCCCCCAGNUGUUACCGGGGCAAANUCGGCUUCACNAUUUUGUGGGCAACCCCCCGUUGGCAAAGGCACCUUCUGGGUCUGACUUGUCCGCCCUCACNGCGCNCACACCGUGGUCGCCGCACGGNUAUAUACCCUUCNGGUCCCCCCGCCCUGUGUUGUAUNNGGNAGCCCCCCUUAUUAGGACCNCUCCCC